rnacentral:rRNA from 1 species
UACGGAGGGUGCGAGCGUUAAUCGGAAUUACUGGGCGUAAAGCGCGCGUAGGCGGUUUGUUAAGUCGGAUGUGAAAGCCCCGGGCUCAACCUGGGAACUGCACCCGAUACUGGCCGACUUGAGUGCGAGAGAGGGAGGUAGAAUUCCAUGUGUAGCGGUGAUAUGCGUAGAUAUAUGGAGGAAUACCGGUGGCGAAGGCGGCCUCCUGGCUCGACACUGACGCUGAGGUGCGAAAGCGUGGGUAGCAAACAGG